rnacentral:lncRNA from 1 species
AAGGGAAAUAACAUUGAAAGGAAAGAUAACAUACUUGAAAAAGGGAAGAUUGAAAGAACAAGGUUGUCCUCCCCACACUUAAAUGAAACAUUGUCCCCAAUGUUUCAAAGAAAACAAAAGAAAUACAAAAAGGGAAAAGAAAAGGAAACUAAAGUCAAUGCUGCCUUCCGCCUCUUGUUCUUGGACCUGGUGAUCGUUGACGUACUUCUAAGUCGUCAAACCUGUUGAGCAACUCAGUGAACCG